CCUAUCCUCCUGACAGAGCGGGGAAGAGACUGAGAGAGGUGCUAUCAGUAGAGGCUUGAGUUAGCAGUCUACUGGUGCAUUUAGAAGUGAUGAACUUAUCCUGGGAGUAUUAGCUUGUUCUAAGUGGCCAAAAUCACAUGGAGCAUCAGAGGCAGAAUGUGGCUUGGUCCUUGGAGGGUCAGGUGAAUUCCUCCAUGAGCAUCAGUGUUCGCAGUAUUUCAACAAUGACUGUGUGAGGCAGAGAGCCAUCAUCCUGUUUAUAACGAGCAGAGGUGGAAUCUGUUUUAUGUAUGGUCUCACUUUCUGCCAGUACGGAAGUUGGAAAUAGACACAAAUUUCAGUUCCUUUUGUCCCCCAUGAUCCUUUCUUCUUCUCAACGUGCCCAGGGCUUCGGGGCUAAGGCUGAGGACUGACUAUUAAACCAGACCAUUGACAGAACCAACAGCAAUGUCAAAUCUACAUUCUUCCCUGCCUCCUUCGGACCCCUGCUGCCCCUUCAGAUCCAGUCAAUUGGUCCAAGGCCAGGGACAGACAACUUGUGAACCCAGCAGGAUAUCAACUUUAUUGGAUGCUAUAAAUACUUGUUGGAAAUGACCCAUAUUUAAAAACCCUCUUCUCCUAUGGAGACAUCAUUCUAUGGACUAAAAGUUACUUUUUUUCUUCUUUGGCCCAUAGCUAUAGUCCAAAUAAAGGCUUUUUUUCUGAUUUUUAAUCUAGAUUGCAAAAAAAUGUGUCUUCUUACCAUAAUUCUAUCCUUUUUGGUAUAUGUUAAAAAAUAAAAAAAAAUAAAAACUUCAUUC
rnacentral:lncRNA from 1 species